rnacentral:tRNA from 1 species
GCCCAUGUAGCUCAGUUGGUAGAGCACAUUCUUGGUAAGAAUGGGGUCCUCGGUUCAAAUCCGAGCAUGGGCU